CCCUUAGAUGUUCUGGGCCGCACGCGCGCUACACUGAUGCAUUCAACGAGCCUAUCCUUGACCGACAGGUCCGGGUAAUCUUUGAAUCUGCAUCGUGACGGGGAUAGAUUAUUGCAAUUAUUAAUCUUCAACGAGGAAUGCCUAGUAGGCGCAAGUCAUCAGCUUGCGUCGAUUACGUCCCUGCCCUUUGUACACACCGCCCGUCGCUCCGACCGAUUGGGUGUGCUGGUGAAAUGUUCGGAUCGGCCGUUUGUCGCGGUUUCCGCGUCAUGUGGCUGAGAAGUUCAUUAAACCCUCCCACCGAGAGGAAGGAGAAGUCGUAACA
rnacentral:rRNA from 1 species